rnacentral:rRNA from 1 species
GGACUACCGGGGUUUCUAAUCCUGUUUGCUCCCCACGCUUUCGCGCCUCAGCGUCAGUUACGAGCCAGAAAGCCGCCUUCGCCUCCGGUGUUCCUCCUAAUAUCUACGAAUUUCACCUCUACACUAGGAAUUCCGCUUCCCUCUCUCGUCCUCUAGGUAUACCGUUUCAUGCGCUGUUCCCAGGUUAAGCCCGGGGCUUUCACGCUUGACUAAUAUUCCCGCCUACGCGCCCUUUACGCCCAGUCAUUCCGAACAACGCUAGCACCCUCUGUCUUACCGCGGCUGCUGGCAC